GUUCCCGCCGCCGCCAUCACUGCCGCCUCCCAGGCUUCUCGCGAGAAUACUGUCUGCGUCUCGCGCGAGUUGCUCACUGGCCCUCUAACCUUCAAAUAGUGAAGAUUCUCAAUGGUGCCCUGCCCCCUUCUCUCCUGUUUCAGUUCCAGCAGGGAGCCAGAACCUGUGCCAUCAACAUCCGGCAUGAGUGAAAUGGCAGCUCGCCCUCUGUCUCCUAUUGCUGAUGACCCUGCAGCUCUACCAUCGCUCACCUCCACUCCCUCCUCCAGAACUAAGACCUCCCCCAACCCUACCACCCAGGUGGAGCAUGGUGACUACUUGCUGAGACCCCAGACUGGUUGGAACCAGAAAGUUGAUGAUUGACAUUCCUGGAACACCACUGUUACCUCACCACCACCCAAUUAGGAGAACGUGACACACCCCACAGCCAUCACCCCAGAUGUUGCCUUUAAAAACUCUUCCCUGAAAACCGUCUGGGAGUUUGGGUCUUCUGAACGCAAGCGGCCCAUUCUUGCUGGGCCCUGCAAUAAACCUUUCUCUGCUCCAAA